GCGACCCCGGCACCGGCACCCGUUCCGAGGGUUCGCGCCGCAGGCGCAAAGUUUAGGGUCAGCCACAAACGCGCGGCCGCUUUGAGCCUGGCGUAAGGGGCGGCGGCGUAGGGGGACGUUGUGAAUAGCUGGUCGAAGUUUGGUUGAAGCACAGGAGGGUAAAUAAGAAGGUUUCCAGACAAAGAGACUCUUAAAGGUACAGACUCUUAUGUCUGUCCCUCCUCCUUAAAGGGCCAGAGACGCUCCCGAGCCCAUCUCCGCCCCCUUCUUCCCGGGGAACUGUAAAGUGGAAUGCAGAUAUGGAGCUGAUGAGUCUGCUUUGAUCUUAUGGGUAAGAAAACAUACUGGGAAUGGCUGAAUAAGACAGAAGGAAACAAAGUUCCUGAUAACCUUGUAGAGUUAAAUCUGCCCUAGACCAUCUGAUUACCUCUCUAUUAUUAGGUGAGAAAAAAACAAACUUCGAUCUUAUAGCAGUUUGGCCUGUGGCUUAACAUAUUUCACAACAGAAGGGAAAGAUGUCAGAAGGAGAUUUCAAAGGACUCAGGCAACACCCUAGGAAAGUCAAUUCGCAAAUCACUUCAGCAAACAGGUCAGAAAAUAGUAACUAUCAAACCAGUUGUGCCUUCUACUCCAUCUCUAGGAUAGAAGCCCAGCCACAUCCUCUGAGGGAAGGAAGAGGCUCUUAUUACAGCACAAUCCAAACAUAAAAUGCAGCAUGUUCACCAUUGGCCUGGGACAAAUCCUUAAUAGUUGGGGAUACGGACUAUUUCCCCCACCAGUACCAGGCAGGGACAUUCCUGUCCUACCUUUCCCCUAAAGGAGGCAAGGUCCAAACUUCUCCACUCUUCAUAAUUACCAUUCUUGAGGACAGGCCAAAUCCAGUAAGGCACGGAGUAAAACAGCUGAUGGGGGGCUAUGUGUGAGAGUCAGGGGGUUGGGGAGGGGACUCAGCCCCAGAACAAAAGCCACAGCUGAGAACCAGAGAAGGAGAGUAGAGUCCAUGUCUACCCUGGGUUUCUGGGGUCCAGGGACCUGAAAGUCAGCACCUGCUCCUCCUGUGGAGUACCCCUGGUGACAGAGCUCAGCUGGCAGCUGCUCAUCACUAACGAAUCCCAGCCACCGGCACCUGCUGCUGCUUGCGGAUCUUGUUGAAGAGUUCCAUGUACUGGACCAUGGUAUCUGCUGGGCCGUAGACCGCAUCAUGUCUGUUCCCAAACACUGCGGGAGCCCCUGGUGUGUGGCUGCCUAGAAAACUCUGUAGGAACUCGAGCAGCAGACUCCAGCAGUCACUAGCUACCACACAGGGGCCAUACUCCAC
rnacentral:lncRNA from 10 species